UACGUAGGUGGCAAGCGUUGUCCGGAAUUACUGGGUGUAAAGCGCGUGUAGGCGGGAGGCCAAGUCUGCUGUGAAAUCGCCCGGCUCAACUGGGCGGGGUCGGUGGAAACUGGUCACCUGGAGGACGGUAGAGGCGAGUGGAAUUCCCGGUGUAGUGGUGAAAUGCGUAGAGAUUGGGAAGAACACCAGUGGCGAAGGCGGCUAUCUGGACGGUUUCUGACACUAAGACACGAAAGCGUGGGGAGCAAACAGG
rnacentral:rRNA from 1 species